CCGGGAAGUUAGACGACGCAUUGUGGGCAUAUCGCACAGCAUAUAAAACUCCCAUAGGUGCUUCUCCGAAUAAAUUGGUGUAUGGGAAGGCAUGUCACUUGCCCAUCGAACUUGAGCACAAGGCCUAUUGGGCAAUAAAGAAGUUGAACAUGGAUAAUGACUUAGCUGGAGAGAAAAGGUUGUUGCAACUUGAAGAGCUCAAGGAGUUUCAAUUACAUGCAUAUGAGAUUGCCAAUCUAUAUAAAGAGAAGACUAAGAGGUGGCAUGAUAAGCACAUUCUGCUGCAACUUGAUGAGCUCGAGGAGUUUCGAUUACAUGCAUAUGAGAAUACCAAACUAUAUAAAGAGAAGACUAAAAGGUGGCAUGAUAAGCACAUUCAGCACCGUGAGUUCGAACCAGGCCAGCAAGUCCUGUUGUUCAAUUCGAGGUUGAAGCUCUUCCCUGGAAAGCUUAAAUCUCGUUGGUUUGGCCCUUUCGUUGUGGUAAGCGUGAAGCCUCAUGGAGUCGUGGAACUGAGAGAUAUGAGCUCCACUAGCACCUUCCUAGUUAAUGGUCAACGAAUUAAACAUUAUUGGGGUGGAGACUUGGUGCGUCACAAGACCUCAGUGGAAUUGAACGAUGCUUGAAAACAUGUUGAGUCGUGCCGCGACGUUAAAUCAGGCGCUGGAUGGGAGACAACCUAUUAAAAUGUUGUAAAUGUCUAAAAAAAAAAGAGAGAGAAAAAGUAUACAGGAACGCCCAGGUGUCUCGGUUCACUGCUAUGGAACAGGAGAUGGCUGGUUUGCGGACCUCCGUGAACGAAUUAGGCACCCGUGUGGAUGUGUUAGCAGACCGGCAGAAUAAGUCAGAGAGGAAGAUCAUAGGAUGGUUAUGAGCCUUGGGGCGCGCAUACAACAUGAACCUCGCAACUGUCUCGGACCAUGAGUGACGCUUCAGGGAAGUUCCUUUACCUCACUAUUUUUCCUUCAAUUUCACGCCAUGAGGGCAUGGCUUUUUCUUUAAGUGUGGGGUGGGGAACUUCCUAAAUGUAUAUUGUAAGUAGUGUACAAAUGGUUGUUUUGCUUGCUUAUUAACUUGAUUUGCUUCUUUUUCUCUUUGUGUGAAGUAGUGUGUUGGGUAAUUUGUCAAUUAGUUUAGAUAGAUGGAUCGGCCCUAUGACGAAUCCCUUUCGAUGGGGUUCUUGAGGGAGAUGAGUCGAUGAAAAAAAAACUAAAAAAUGGAGGUUCUUCCCUAUGACGGAUCUUGUAGACGAGGUUCUUAAGG
rnacentral:lncRNA from 1 species